rnacentral:rRNA from 1 species
GAUCAUGGCUCAGGAUGAACGCUAGCUACAGGCUUAACACAUGCAAGUCGAGGGGAAACGACAUCGAAAGCUUGCUUUUGAUGGGCGUCGACCGGCGCACGGGUGAGUAACGCGUAUCCAACCUGCCCAUCACUUGGGAAUAACCUUGCGAAAGUAAGACUAAUGCCCAAUGAUAUCCCACGAAGGCAUCCGAGUGGGAUUAAAGAUUUAUCGGUGAUGGAUGGGAAUGCGU